rfam:Triticum aestivum genome assembly, contig: Triticum_aestivum_CS42_TGACv1_scaffold_434604_5DL
CGAGUACUCCCUCCGUUCCACAAUAUAUGCCUUUAUUUGUCAAAUUAUAGAUGUAUCUAGACAUGUUUUAGUAUAUAGGUACAUCCAUUUUUGGACAAAUGGAAGUCAAGUAUUUUGGAAUGGAGGGAGUAGGAA